rnacentral:rRNA from 1 species
UACAGAGGGUGCGAGCGUUGUUCGGAAUUAUUGGGCGUAAAGCGCGCGCAGGCGGUCCUUUAAGUCUGAUGUGAAAGCCCACGGCUCAACCGUGGAGGGUCAUUGGAAACUGGGGGACUUGAGUGCAGGAGAGAAGAGUGGAAUUCCACGUGUAGCGGUGAAAUGCGUAGAGAUGUGGAGGAACACCGGUGGCGAAGGCGGCAUCCUGGACCGACAUUGACGCUGAGGCGCGAAAGCCAGGGGAGCAAACGGG